GUCGUUCAAACAACAUAAUUAUCUGUUACUAAUUUCCAGGCAUGUGAGGCAGAUAGUAACAGCGGUAUUUUGGCAGAUGCGAUCUCUGAGUGCUUCCGCUGCUCAUUUUAAGUUACGGCGGUUCAGGACCGUCAUCAGUCCUCAAGGGGAUGUUUCUGAUGAUGGUCCUGAACCAUCAUCGGUCCUCAAGGGGUUAAACAUUGCUGUUCCAGAGAAGUGCAAAUGUUUGCAUUGCAGCUCUAAGUCUGGCCCCAGUGGCUGUCUACCAGGCAGCCACUAGAGGGCUUGCACAAUCGUAACAGACUUUUGGUCAGUUAUCUGAUGCUGGACGUCCUCACGCUCUGCUUGAGGACCUUCAGCGUCAGACUUGUUCCCCAUAGGAAAGCACUGAUUCAAUGCUUUCCUAUGGGGAGAUCUAAUGCGUGCGGCAUUUGCCACGCAUGCGCAUUAGACCCCGCUUGUCACGGGAUGGAAGAGGGGG